rnacentral:rRNA from 1 species
AACGAACGCUGGCGGCAUGCCUAACAUAUGCAAGUCGAACGAGACCUUCGGGUCUAGUGGCGCACGGGUGCGUAACGCGUGGGAAUCUGCCCUUUGGUUCGGAAUAACAGUUGGAAACGACUGCUAAUACCGGAUGAUGACGAAAGUCCAAAGAUUUAUCGCCAGAGGAUGAGCCCGCGUAGGAUUAGCUAGUUGGUGUGGUAAAGGCGCACCAAGGCGACGAUCCUUAGCUGGUCUGAGAGGAUGAUCAGCCACACUGGGACUGAGACACGGCCCAGACUCCUACGGGAGGCAGCAGUGGGGAAUAUUGGACAAUGGGCGAAAGCCUGAUCCAGCAAUGCCGCGUGAGUGAUGAAGGCCUUAGGGUUGUAAAGCUCUUUUACCCGGGAUGAUAAUGACAGUACCGGGAGAAUAAGCUCCGGCUAACUCCGUGCCAGCCGCCGCAGUAA